rnacentral:rRNA from 1 species
CGGGUGAGUAAUGUAUGGGGAUCUGCCCGAUGGAGGGGGAUAACUACUGGAAACGGUAGCUAAUACCGCAUAACGUCGCAAGACCAAAGAGGGGGACCUUAGGGCCUCUUGCCAUCGGAUGUGCCCAGAUGGGAUUAGCUAGUAGGUGGGGUAAUGGCUCACCUAGGCGACGAUCCCUAGCUGGUCUGAGAGGAUGAUCAGCCACACUGGGACUGAGACACGGCCCAG